UUUAGGUGAUGACUCCAUUCGUGUUUAUUCGUCUUAUUCCCAGUUUAUUUUCCCUCUUUGAUAUAGAUGCUGUUUUCAGCCGGGCGCGUGGGAGCACAGACUGAGAGAGACUUGGCAAAGCGUCGUAUUUUUCCUCUCCAGGACAGCCCUAUACCUGGAGAGAGAGAGAGAGAGAGAGAGCGAGAGCGAGAGCGUUUCUCACUCAGGCAAACCUGAGACUGAACUUGGAUGCAAACUGCUGUAGCUGCCAUUGUCAAGCUGUCAGCGGACUCGUGUAAUUAUCCUCUUGAAAAGUAUCGCGGAGCCAUUAUCCACAAAGUACCCGUUAUAGGUGCUCAGAGGCAACACAUGACGGGACCGGCGCACCAUCAGCAUCCAGUGACGACGUCCACGAGUAGGUGAAGAUGAACCGGCCUUUCUGAUCAAAGGACCCGUCUAUAAAGCUCAAGGCUGGCCUUCCUAGACGGUGAAUCACUGCACACUGGACUGGCCGCCCGGCCACGCCCCCCAACAGUGAUGUCAGAGCAGGUGUUUCCCAUCAGCUGUUAAAGGCCUCACCAUUCACGCCCCUUUGUAACUCGAGCUGCUCAGAUUGAUGGGAGGAUGGCUCUCAUUUGGACCAGGAGAAAAGUGGCCAGUUUAAGGGCUGCUACUGUAUUUUAAACGGCACUGGUGUUAAAGAGACUGAUGUGCCUGGUGGCGUCGGCGGCAACGGUGACCCUCCCUCCUGGCUGGGUGCAAAACUCCCAUUGGGAGAAUAAGAGAGAAGAAGGGGGAAGGAAGGCGGGAGGAGGGGGCGAGGACGGGAAUGAAUCUGCGUGGCGGCGGGAAUCGAUCGUUUCUCCCUCCUUCCCGCGCUAUCUCAUCUGCAGGGGCUGAGAGAGGCAGAGUGGUUUAAACGAUCCUGACCUUGUCCGAC